rnacentral:lncRNA from 1 species
CCAAGCAGCAGCAGCAGCAUACCUGAGGGAUAUGAUAAAUUUCCAACAAUAAUAGUAACUCAUUAAGGCUACAUUUUCUGGAAAAUAUAUGAACAGGCCACCCUUUGUCCAUUUGUAUUAGGGGCUCAUUGAGCUGGAGCAGGUAGUUUCAUACUUAACCAGAUGAAAAUUGUUAUAGUCUUGGCAGAAAAGACAGUUCCAAGUAUAGUACAAUGUCCUGUCCAUGUUAACCUAACGUCUGAAUCCUAUGGAUUUAUAGGCGACAUUGGGAUAGGAGAAGGGGAGCAGAAGGAACUGUUUUAACAGUGACUCAAAGGAAACUAGGAAUCAACAGCAUUUGGGGUGGGAAGGGGCUCUCUAAUAGAGUGACUUCCAAGUCCUCAGUAAGAAGAAGUCACGUGUUUUUUCUGCAUCUUGCAGAAUGGUGCUCACCUUCGAUAUGGUAGGGGCUGCAGCCCCCCAGCUAUGCAGGAACAGUGAUGCCCAGCAGACGGGGGAAGAUGCAGAGCAGUGGGGUGGCUUGGAAGAAGUGUCCUUGUUCAAAAAAAAUCUAACAACUCUGGACUGUUGACAAACAUUCCCUUUUGCGGUCGCAACUCGUCUUGAAGCCAAAAUGAGCCUUUGCCCUCUGAUGGGAAUGAAGCAGCAAGCCGCCAAGCCACACAACGGAAGCCUGAAAUGAGAUGACUUGGGCAAUUUGCACAAGAGUUUCCUACUUUAAAUAAUUAGAGUCACUAUCCCUGGGGGCAUUUGCUUAUUGGCUGCCUUAACAGUCUUCUUCUUCUUUUUUUUUUUUUAAAGCAAGUCUCUUAAAGAUACUGCUCUUGAUCUUACACGCACUUGCCAAGACUUGUCUUAUUCUUAUAGUACUGAUGUUCUACUGUUCAAAAGUUAGGAAGGAGCUGAUUCUGAGCUGGAAACAAGGGCAGCAGAAGAUAGAGAUAGUAGGCUCAUUUUGUGCAUGAGUCCCAGAGAGAGAGAGUGCCAGCCAUUGCAGGAGGUGGGUUUGAGGGGUUGGAUGUGCAAAAUGAGGUCUAGCUGGCAGCCCCUGGGCAAUCUGCUGACGGUGGGUUGGAAAUGGCAACUGUUGAAAAACACCGCAAACUGA